CCCCAUGUAGCUCAGUGGUAGAGUGCUUGCUAAGCAUACACAAACUCCUGGGUUCAAUUCCCAGUAUGGAAA
rnacentral:tRNA from 1 species